AUUUCUUACUGACCUUGCAGCCCAAGUAUGUGGAGUCUUCAGCAGUAAGUAUCUGUUCUUAUCAGUUUAAUAUCUGAUAUGUCUUCUAUCAAGGACAAUAUAUUAAAUGGAUUUUUGGAAUUAGGACAGUUGGGAUAGAAGCUUGCUCCAUAGUUUGACCUGGUAUUGCAGUACUUCCAUGAACAAUGUAAAAAAA